rnacentral:lncRNA from 1 species
GUAACAAGAAAUAAAUGCUAAGUGGCCCCAGGAGGAAGUCAAUUUAACAUCUGCAUAUUUUAUUUAACAUAUAAUUAUUUUAAUUAGGUAAGAUUAACAAUUAUUCAUUGGAAAAUUAUCACAAUCAUAUCAUAUCAGGUACAGUACAAAUUAAAUCUAAAACGGUGUCCCCUCCUCCCCCUUUAGGGAACCUGGGAAGGACUCAGAGUGCCGAUGGUGUAUUUGAUAUACAUCAGCCUAUUUCCUUGUUUUCUAUUGAACUUCAACCACUGGAUGGAACUUCUUUACACCACUGUUUAAUUGCUUCAUUAUUCCAGUGAGCAGGCAAGGCUGAAGAGGAGGAAUUCUGGAAGCUGGAAUAAAGAAUUUAUAUUUGUACUGCUGUGUGCUUAGCCUCUGGUUCUGGAAGACCUUUCCACCACACCUCUUCUGAAAAAAAAAAAAAAAAAGAAGUAGAGAUAAAGGUCUUGCUCUGUUCCCCAGGCUGGUCUUGAACUCCUGGCCUCAAGUGAUCUUCCUGCCUCAGUCUCCCAAAGUGCUGGGAUUACAGGCAUGGGCCACCACACCUGGCCCUAAAAUAAUCUUAAGGCAGCCAUGUUGCUUAAUUAUAACCAAAUGUCCUUAAAUAAAUAUGCACCACUGAUGGUGUUGUUAAAUUUUUAAAAAGAAAUAUACUCACUUAUUUCCUUCUCAGCAAUUAAUAAACUUCAAUCUUCAGAGCCCAGAGACAAAAACAAACAAACAAAAAAACAACAAAAAAAGAUGCGACACAACCUAUUAGCACAAGCAAAAACAAUGUUCUAACAGUGAAGCUUCAUGCUGCACUCAAAUGCAUAAUUAUCCAUACAAUUUAAAAUUGUAUAUUUUAUUGCUUUAAAAGUCUUUCAGAUACUUUACACUGCCCACUGUUUUACCACGAAGUAAAUUUUCCUUUCACUACAUUUCUGCAGCGUUGUUCAUUGUUUUUAGUUCAAUUACAUAGUUGAGAAAAUUCAGGCCCAGAGAAGUAAAAAGAAAAAAUUACAGAAUCUGAGGAAACUUUAUUGAUCUCUUUAUACUUCCAGCAUUAUGAGAGUAGGCAAUACAAUGUUUUAACCCAACCAAGCUCAAAGGAGUAAACCUUUUUCCUGAACCAUAAAUGGGCUGGAUGUUUCCUCCACAUUAUAGUACCAUCUCCUAAAUCAUCCUUUAUUCACCUCCAUGACAAUAAUAACCCACAACUCAGUGCAGGAUGGAGAUGCUUUUGCUGUUUCUCUUCAGAGGUCCUCACUGGAGUGUUCUUAUCUUCUUGUGGGCUUCUGGCAUCCUAUGAUAUUUAACACUCAGUGCCUCCCAAAUGACAACAUGGUUACAUAAAUCCUUCUUUGAAAAUACAUGAAGAGAAAAAAUACAUUUCUAGCUAAUGACUAAGAAGCCUCUAACAAGCUGCAAGUCAAAAGAAUUUCAAAACUUAGCUUUUCAAUAUAUGGUCUUAUUAAUAUAUUGGAUGUUGCUAUUUAAAAAUCACCUUGGGCUUCCUGUUACAUGAAUUACCAGAACCACAGAAGCUGAGAGCCCAGCAGGUGGUAAACUGAAGUAAGAGAGAUACUGCUGGAGUUCCAAGGACAUUCCCUUAAGAGAAAUGCUUAUGAGUUUAGGAGCUCUCGUAAGAGAGUCAGGGAGAAAAAGAAGGAAGUGAGGCUUGUGUGUGUAUGCCUUAGAUAUGAUAGGUAUACACCUUACAGGAUCACUCCUCAUUUCUAAUUUAACAAGAUUGAUUCUGUUUGACAAAGACAAAGGCUUUAACAUUACCUAUUACUAUCAGCAAUGCAGUUAUAAAUGUCACUCCUAGUCAUUCAUUUUAUAGCCACUUUGAAAGGUCUAUCAGUUUACUCUGUAGAAACAUCCCAUUACACAUUGCAGAUACACAUUUAAAUCACUGAAGAACUUUACAA